UGAGUUGCGAACGGGUGAGUAACGCGUAGGUAACCUGCCUGGUAGCGGGGGAUAACUAUUGGAAACGAUAGCUAAUACCGCAUAACAUUGACUAUUGCAUGAUAGUCAGUUAAAAGGUGCAAUUGCACCACUACCAGAUGGACCUGCGUUGUAUUAGCUAGUUGGUGGGGUAACGGCUCACCAAGGCGACGAUACAUAGCCGACCUGAGAGGGUGAUCGGCCACACUGGGACUGAGACACGGCCCAAACUCCUACGGGAGGCAGCAGUGGGGAAUAUUGCACAAUGGGGGAAACCCUGAUGCAGCGACGCCGCGUGAGCGAUGAAGUAUUUCGGUAUGUAAAGCUCUAUCAGCAGGGAAGAAAAUGACGGUACCUGACUAAGAGGCCCCGGCUAACUACGUGCCAGCAGCCGCGGUAAUACGUAGGGGGCAAGCGUUAUCCGGAUUUACUGGGUGUAAAGGGAGCGUAGACGGCAUGGCAAGCCAGAUGUGAAAGCCCGGGGCUCAACCCCGGGACUGCAUUUGGAACUGUCAGGCUAGAGUGUCGGAGAGGAAAGCGGAAUUCCUAGUGUAGCGGUGAAAUGCGUAGAUAUUAGGAGGACACCAGUGGCGAAGGCGGCUUUCUGGACGAUGACUGACG
rnacentral:rRNA from 1 species